rnacentral:rRNA from 1 species
AGUGAACGCUGGCGGUAGGCCUAACACAUGCAAGUCGAACGGCAGCACAGUAAGAGCUUGCUCUUACGGGUGGCGAGUGGCGGACGGGUGAGGAAUACAUCGGAAUCUACUUUUUCGUGGGGGAUAACGUAGGGAAACUUACGCUAAUACCGCAUACGACCUACGGGUGAAAGCAGGGGAUCUUCGGACCUUGCGCGAUUGAAUGAGCCGAUGUCGGAUUAGCUAGUUGGCGGGGUAAAGGCCCACCAAGGCGACGAUCCGUAGCUGGUCUGAGAGGAUGAUCAGCCACACUGGAACUGAGACACGGUCCAGACUCCUACGAGAGGCAGCAGUGGGGAAUAGUGGACAAUGGGCGCAAGCCUGAUCCAGCCAUACCGCGUGGGUGAAGAAGGCCUUCGGGUUGUAAAGCCCUUUUGUUGGGAAAGAAAAGCAUCAGGUUAAUACCCCGCUGUUCUGACGGUACCCAAUGAAUAAGCACCGGCUAACUUCGUG